rnacentral:lncRNA from 8 species
AUCUGCCAACCUGCUCAGUGGGUGACAGGUAACUGUCUUUCCAUCAAGCUGUUCCAGGCCUGGAGUGGCACACUGGAACUUCCAGAGGCUUGUAGACCUGAAGCAGUGUGAUGUGGUCCAGGUAAUUAUCAAACACACAUAUACACACUCACUCAAUCACUCUGUUUUGUUGUAUAAUUAUUUUAACUUAAGAAAAUUGUUCCUCUCUCUUUUAGAUCUGACACCCCUAUUAGCUCAACCACAGUCUUCACAGCUGCAGUUUGCCGCUGUAUCUGCUACACUGGUCACGACAGGUGAUACAGAUAUGCCACCCCCUAAUGUGGUAUUUAAUUUACCGGCUGCACCAGUUCCUACUACACUGGCCGUGAAGGGAGACACUUUUGAGGAUACCCAGAUGGAUACAGGUUAUUCAGAAAUAUAUUGCGUAUGCUCACUCACACCAACAUGUUGUUGAGUGGUAUUCUUACUGUCACUUUGUGCAUCUCUCUUUCAGAUCUGCCUUGCUCUCCACUACCUGACAGCCUCACCUAGAAGUGCAUACACUGGGCCUAUCAAGAUUGACAAAGCAGAGAUGGGUGGCUGACAAGGAAAAAUAAAGCAACACAUUAUCCACAAUUACAAGUUGUAAUUACUUGUUUAUUAAAUGUUUGCUCCAUUUUAUUUUAGGAUUGGCGAUAUCUACUCCUUCAUAUCCAUUCUCAGUAUCUACAUAAUUACUCUAAAUAUCUAUCAAAUCAAAGUGUGAUUGAUAAUGUUGUAAAAGACUAUGGCUUAAUGUGAACAGUUUGAGGAAAUUAUGAGUUGAAAAACAUGUCUCCCUCUCACACAUUAGACCCAAUGUAAAUAAAUUGUAAAAACUUGUUUAUUUUAUGUAUGCUCCAUUUUAUUUGAGGAAAAUAUCUGCAAUAACGUACAUUCACAGAUAAAGCAAUGUCUUUGGUUUAUUGGAUAUGUCUCUGAAUACAAUGUGUGACCAGAAGGAAGUUGGCAGACCUGCAACCCUUGGACUGUGUGUCGGUUUUGUCAUCUGGAGCUGAAUUAUAGAGAUAGUUUAUCAUUAAUAACUGACACUUCUAUAAUGAAUACAUAUUCUAAUAAUACAUAAGUGACCAAUAACUACUGAAUUGUGGUUGUUUUAUUUAGUCAAUCAAGUAGUGCCCCAAGGGGGAUCGAACUGUGUCUCAAAAGCAGCAGAAAAGGUCAAAUAAGGUCACCAAAAUUUCCGUUACGGCUAUACACGACUGGCUAUACAGGGGCCAGUCGUGUAUAGCCGUAACGGAAUUUGUGAUGGCUGCUCCAAUGCCUUGACUUUGUUGUCCUUAAGCCAUUUUGCCACAACUUUGGAAGUAUGCUUGGGGUCAUUGUCCAUUUGGAAGACCCAUUUGCGACCAAGCUUUAAC